GGGUCAGUAGGUUGGACGUGCCACCGGUACGUACUGGUCUCACUGAUUCCUCCUUCCUGAAGAACCGUAAUGCCAUUAAUUUGGUGUUGCGGGGAAACAGGACAGUUACUUUGAAAAAAUUAGAGUGUUUAAAGCAAGCUAACGCUUGAAUACAUUAGCAUGGAAUAAUGAAAUAGGACGAUCGAUCCUAUUUUGUUGGUUUCUAGGAUUGACGUA
rnacentral:rRNA from 1 species